rnacentral:rRNA from 1 species
GCUACGGGUGGCAGCAGUGAGGAAUAUUGGUCAAUGGACGGAAGCCUGAACCAGCCAAGUCGCGUGCGGGACGACGGUCCUAUGGAUUGUAAACCUCUUUUGUCCGGGGCCAAAGGCCCCCACGUGUGUGCGGAUGAAUGUACCCGAAGAAAAAGCAUCGGCUAACUCCGUGCCAGCAGCCGCGGUAAUAGGGAGGAUGCUAGGGUUAUCCGGAUUUAUUGGGUUUAAAGGGUGCGUAGUCGGACCGUAAAGUAAGGGGUAAAAAGGCGGGGGCAAACGCCGUACAGCCGUUGAAACUGGCAGGCUGGAGGGGGCGUGAGGUAGGCGGAAUGUGUGGUGUAGCGGUGAAAUGCAUAGAGAUCACGCAGAACACCGAUUGCGAAGGCAGCAUACCGGCGCACGACUGACGUUGAGGCACGAAAGCGUGGGUAUCGAACAGGAUUAGAUACCCGUGUAGUC